AGAAGGGAACUAGGCGGUUAUGGUCCAAGUUUGCGGAAGAUACAUUUUCGAUCGUGCAAGCCAACACUGUGAGACUAGUAGUUUCAAAUAUGGCACUAUGGUCCAAAUAUAGAAGGCUUUGAAUAUUCUUAAGUCCUGAUUCAGAGCUAAAGGCAAGUCCUCAUAUUGAAUCAAAAUUGAAGAAGUGGAAAAAGCAAUAUCUUAUAGUCUAUGAC
rnacentral:lncRNA from 1 species